GAUGAACGCUGGCGGCGUGCCUAAUACAUGCAAGUCGAGCGAAUGGAUUAAGAGCUUGCUCUUAUGAAGUUAGCGGCGGACGGGUGAGUAACACGUGGGUAACCUGCCCAUAAGACUGGGAUAACUCCGGGAAACCGGGGCUAAUACCGGAUAACAUUCUGAACCGCAUGGUUCGAAAUUGAAAGGCGGCUUCGGCUGUCACUUAUGGAGGGACCCGCGUCGCAUUAGCUAGUUGGUGAGGUAACGGCUCACCAAGGCAACGAUGAGUAGCCGACCUGAGAGGGUGAUCGGCCACACUGGGACUGAGACACGGCCCAGACUCCUACGGGAGGCAGCAGUAGGGAAUCUUCCGCAAUGGACGAAAGUCUGACGGAGCAACGCCGCGUGAGUGAUGAAGGCUUUCGGGUCGUAAAACUCUGUUGUUAGGGAAGAACAAGUGCUAGUUGAAUAAGCUGGCACCUUGACGGUACCUAACCAGAAAGCCACGGCUAACUACGUGCCAGCCGCCGCGGUAA
rnacentral:rRNA from 1 species